UACGUAGGGGGCCAGCGUUGCUCGGAAUUACUGGGCGUAAAGGGUUCGUAGGCGGUGUGGCAAGUCGGAAGUGAAACCUCCAGGCUUAACUUGGAGACUGAUCCCGAAACUGCCAUGCUAGAGUGCGGGAGAGGCCAGUGGAAUUGCAGGUGUAGCGGUGAAAUGCGUAGAUAUCUGCAGGAACACCCGUGGCGAAGGCGGCUGGCUGGACCGCAACUGACGCUGAGGAACGAAAGCUAGGGGAGCAAACAGG
rnacentral:rRNA from 1 species